rnacentral:rRNA from 1 species
CCUACGGGAGGCAGCAGUGGGGAAUAUUGCGCAAUGGGGGAAACCCUGACGCAGCGACGCCGCGUGAGCGAAGAAGGCCUUAGGGUCGUAAAGCUCUGUUGUAAGGGACGAAAGUUCGUAUUGCGAAUAGUGAUACGGAAUGACGGUACCUUACCAGCAAGCCCCGGCUAACUACGUGCCAGCAGCCGCGGUAAGACGUAGGGGGCGAGCGUUGUCCGGAAUUACUGGGCGUAAAGAGCACGUAGGCGGAUAACUAAGUCAGAUGUGAAAGACCGGGGCCCAACCCUGGGGUUGCAUCUGAAACUGGAUAUCUUGAGGGCAGGAGAGGGCAGUGGAAUUCCUGGUGUAGCGGUGAAAUGCGUAGAAAUCAGGAGGAACACCAGUGGCGAAGGCGGCUGCCUGGACUGACCCUGACGCUGAGGUGCGAAAGCGUGGGUAGCAAACAGGAUUAGAUACCCUGGUAGUCCACGCCGUAAACGAUGGAUACUAGGUGUGGGAGGUAUCGACCCCUUCCGUGCCGCAGCUAACGCAAUAAGUUCCCGCCUGGGAGAACGUGGACGUCGAA